AUGGCCUGGACCCCUCUCCUCCUCAGCCUCCUUGCUCACUGCACAGGUUCCAUGGCUGCCUACGUGCUGACUCAGCCCCGCUCGAUGUCAGUGAGCCUGGGACAGACGGCCAGGAUCACCUGUGGGGGAGACAACAUUGGAAGUAAAUAUGCUUACUGGUACCAACAGAAGCCAGGCCAGGCCCCCGUGACGAUUAUCUAUAAGGAUAGCAAGCGGCCCUCAGGGAUCCCUGACCGAUUUUCAGGCACCAACUCAGGGAACACGGCCACCCUGACCAUCAGCGGGGCCCGGGCUGAGGACGAGGCUGACUAUUACUGUCUGGGGUGGGACAGCAAUGCUGAUGCUCACGGGGUAUUCGGCGGAGGGACCCAGCUGACCGUCCUAGGUCAGCCCACGUCCGCACCCUCGGUCACGCUCUUCCCACCCUCCUCUGAGGAACUCGGCGCCAACAAGGCUGGACCACCCAUGGGGUCCAGGACACCCCAGUAG